UGUGUGGGUGUAGAUGUAAAAAAUCAUACCCACUUUGGGUAGUGGGUAGGUGAUGGGUUUAAGAUCGUACCCACCCUGCAUCCUGCCCGUCAUAUACAUUCG